CCCGGAUAGCCUUGCGGUUAAGGUGUUCGACUCACAAUUGUCCAUCCCGGGUUCGAGUCCCCGCGGGA
rnacentral:tRNA from 1 species